rnacentral:lncRNA from 1 species
CCUUGUCGACCAAGUCAAUUUCAAUUGAGCGUUUUCUUUGGCUUCAUUUUCAAAUGUCAUAGAAAAUUAGACAACAAAAUCAUAUGGUGUGUGUGUGUAUGCGCAGAGAGACACACAUAACAUUGUAGUGUAUGCGCAGAGAGACACACAUAACAUUGUAGAUUAUAUUAAUGAAAGUGCUACAAAACUUGACUACAUGGAAAAAAGUUUACCAAACAAAGCACAAGCAAGGCUAUUAUUUUCCAUGUAUUCAUAUAUUAGUAAUAACUGAUCUCCCUCCAUACAGCAACCAUAGAGCUUAACUAGACAAGGGUGUUGCAAAGCAGAAAUCAAGCCGAUCUCAUUUAUAAAUUCGCGGUUCCCUUGCUUUGAUUUAGAGGAAAGCUGCUUAACUGCUACUAUUGUGCCGUCUGAAAGAACACCCUGCAAUUCAAGGAAUUUAUAUUAUAUCUCUGUACGUGAAAGAAGUAAAAACAAUAAUAGAUAUAUCAAUGACAUUCAAAUUUGAAAUGAAAGUGUAGAUUGUACAAAUACCUUGUAAACCGGACCAAACCCUCCUUCUCCAAUCUUAUAGGCAAUAUCAAAGUUGUUAGUCGCUGCUUUGAUUUGCCGUAACGUAAAUAGCCCAGGUUGGAAAUCUAAACCCUUUAGCUCUGUUGAUUGAAGUAAAAAAGAAUAUAUAAAUAAAAUCAGAGAUAUUUUUUUGAGUAACUUCCACAUCAAUACUUUUAGCAAGUACAAAUCUAGACACAAUGGCAGCCUUGAGCUCUAUAUUUUUAUAAAAUCAAAUUCAGCUUAUUAUGCUUAUAAAAGAAUUUCCGAAAGUUAAUUUUCAGGGUCUUACCUCUUUCUAACGGACCCAUAUGUUGUCGACAUCUUCUCCACCAAUAUAUACCAAAUACUAGUAAGAUAACUAGUCCUCCAGCAACAACAAUCACAGCAAUUUCCCAAACAGGUAUGCUACUGCCUUUUUCCACCGGCGGUGUAAAGUCUGUUUAAUUAUGAUAUAAUAUAAAAGGUUGUCAUAUAGACCAUAUUAGAGGAUGAUGGAAUAAGAAGAACCAUGAAGAACUAUAACUGACCAGGAUCAACCGAUAUAGCCGAUAUAAGAGGACCAUGUACUGAAUCAAAUGGGAUACCGGUUGUCCCUUUCCCCGCCCAAUGAAGGCGAAUCUCCAACGUAUUACUAGUCACAUUAGCAGUGAACUUCUUUAUGAUUGCCUUACCAACUCCACCGGCUUCUUUUGCAAUAUUGAAAUCCUUCAGCACCAACCUUCCCUGCAAAAUGGUUUAUAACGGUCAAAGGAAACUUGUUCAAUACUAAACAUGUUGCUGAAAAACAUAAGAUGAUGAGAUCAUGCACCUGAAUAUAUAUGUCAAAUAUACGUCUUCCAAGGCUGUUAUAUGUUUGAUCAUCCGUAAACAUUAUCUCCGCAAAAUGGAGAUUUACAGUGUAGUUUCCAUUUCCCAGACAAAAGCCAUAAUAUGUUAGAGAAAGCGGCGAAACCCGUGCAUCCAUAUACAGUUCGGCAUUUUCCAUGGCAAGGUUAGUUUUGUUAGACCAGGUAUAGUAGUCCGCAAGGCUAUCGAAGAAGUGACCAGUGUUGCUAAGGGCCCAGUUUGAUCCAGUUCGCUGAAAGCUUGCUGGUCCAACUUGACUUGAAUCAUCAUCAUAUGUCAAACUUUCAUUCGAAGUUAUUUUCUUACCACCACAAUUUAUACGGAGAGAGUACGAAGCUGGAAUGGUCAAAAGAAAAAAAAUGCGAAGUACAAUAAGAUGAUCGUAUUAUAAAUAAAAAUUGUAAGAUUAGAACCUAGAACAACAACCUUGAUUCGAAAGAAAACAAAUAUGAAAAACACAAAAAGAGAAUACUAGGAUUUAUUGUAGAAAUAAGCUCAAAUAAGCAUUUGUAAGCUCAAAUAAGCCAAUUCAAACAGGCCCUAAGUAGAAAUUAUUAAGUUAAAAGCACCAGCAGGUAUCCUACAAUCUAAAGGAAAACCACGACAAAUCAACUUACUUUUAGGACAGCUGAAGUUCCCCAAACAUGAAACCCUUCCCCUAAGAAAUAAUGGUGUGUAACAUAUCAGCAUAAUCACAUUAUAAAAUAAUUUAUUAUGACUCAUGAGUAGUACAAAACUUACAAGUUAUUUCGCUUUGAAGAUGAUGCAAAUAAGUUCCUGCGGCACAUGGUAAACAGCAAAAGAUUAGAUAGUUUCUUAAAAUUGUUGAAACAAAAAAAGUAUGAAAAAACAAGGAUUCUUACACGGUUCCCUGUUGACAUGUCAACUGCUCUGGAUUUUCAAUGCUCAAAUUGUUAUACGAAAGAUCUCUGCAUGUGUCAAAUUAUGCAUGUGAUUCAGAAAUAAAGAUGUAACAAAGAACUAUAUGUAACACUUUUUGGUAUAGAAAUUUCGAAAACUAGUUGUACAAAAAUUUAGCAUGCAGAAGUAAUAAUUAACCUCAAUAAAUUAAAUAAGCAGCGUUUGAAGGAUUACUCACGUGUAGUCUGGUCUAGCAAUCCAAUUUGGAAGCGGUCCAGUAAAAAGGUUUCCAGUUAAGUAUCUAAGUAAAAAAAUAAGAUAAGAUUAAUGAAGACUAGAUUAAAGUUUAAGGAUAUCAAGAAACAACUUGCCCCAAUGUUCUACGCUUUCUCCUUAUUUCCAUUUAUAGAUUUACCUGUUUUUCUAAUCAUUCUCAAUUUAGAUUUUCAGCGAGAGGCCGCGACGUGAUUAUCUCAUGGUGAUAUAUAAAUUUAUUGGUCUGAAGUUUAAGAACAAAAAUAAAUAAAAUAUAUGCACAUAGACAUAGUUCUAGAUUGCAGUUCGCAACUGCAAUAGGGUUUUAGAGGUUUCUGCAACGGCAUCAAACUGCAAUUGUGGCCGUAUUUGCCUGCACUGUUGCAGUGUAAUUGCAUUUUAGAACCAUGCAUGCACAUGGACUUGAAAUGGAUAAAUAUUUAUGAGAGAAAUGAAUCAGAUUCACGAUUUUCCACUUGCGUCUCUAUCUAAAAUCCAAUCUAUUAAUAAUCUCGUUGCUUCGUUGCAAACAAUUCUAACCUUGUCUUCAUAAGUUUAAAUCACACUUUCUUUCAGGUAUCUUUAAGAAUUCAAUUUGGUGUAUACAAGUAACUCAGAGGAUAUUGCUUACAGCAUAUUUAUGUUCUUCAGGCCACCCAAGGUGAUCGGAAUCGGUCCAGUUAAUUUGUUAAAACUGAGAUCUCUGAAAAAGAAAUUAUGCUCAGAAUAAAUAUUAUUCGACAAGAAAAAUGUUUUAGUCCCGAUAACAUAACAAAAGAAGCAUCUUGUUUUUCACCAAAAUUUGAGUACUGAUUGCAUCUAUUGUAACUGGUUCUAACGCAUGUGAAUAAUGCAAGAAACUUCCUAGUAUUACUUACAAAGAUUUUAAAGUAGUAAUAUGUCCAAGAUAGUCGGGAACUUCUCCUAUAAGAUUGCAACUCCUCAGCACUCUGUCAAAAAAAUUGAUACUAUGUAAAUUUUUAAGUGCAAUGCACUUAUGCUAAUAAUCCAAGCAAUUCCCUUACAAUGUUUGAAUAUUUGUCAAGCCAAUAAGUUGCGGAAAAGGAGAAUCUGAUCCUUUCAAGUCGCUUAUUCUCCUGCAUAACAUUUAUUAAUCACUGUAAAACUCAAUAAGAGAAAAAUUGAAUUUUAAAUCCUUGACCAAAAUCUAUAAAGCACUAACACAAAUACCGAACACGAUACUGACGUUGACAUACAUGUAGUGUGUCGGACACUAGACUCACAUUCAAUUUAAAUGUCGGUGUUAAAGAUCACAAGAAAAUACAUCAUACUUACAAGCCAUUGAGGUUUUUCAGAUAUGAAAUUCCAGAAGGAAUUGGACCACUCAAACCACUCCCUUGCAUCACCCUGUCAAAAUUAAAAGUUAUUAUUUUGACAAACCAGCUUAACUAAGAAAAAAAAUUAUGAUUUAGAAUUUCGNGAUCGAUUUUGAGCAACCUGGGGGAAGUGGAUCAAGUACACCGCAACCAUACUCGACCGGGGUGUUACCAGCUUUUGCAAAUCAUGUGCGUGCUAGAUCCGAGUUGCGUCAUCCAGAUGUUCGUCACGAACUGCAAGUAGAUCUAGUGAAGCACAUAUGGACAAAGUUUGGAAUGUAUCAUGAUUGAAGAUGAUUUCUAUCGUACUAAAUAAAUUAUUUGUGUGUUGUAUUUCAUUUUAAGUUAUUUGUGUGCCGCGUGUUUAGUUUGUUGUAUUGCAUUUUAAGUUAAGAAAAUAAAAAUAAAUUAUUUUGCAAAAUUUUGUUUUUUUCAAAAAACCUAAAAAAUAAAUAGUUAAUUGUAUUAUUUUAAUUUAAUUAUAAUCGAUAAUUUUAUGUAACUAUAAAAACAAAAAUUAAAUAAGAAUAAGAAAUACAAAGUGGUGGGGUAGAGUGUUGAAUGAAAAACCAUUGGAGAGGGUAAAAGUUGAAUGAGUAUUGAAUAAGAGAGAGAAAAUGAUGUGGAGUGUUGGAAAUUGAAAAAAUAGGUGUUGAAAGGGAAAAUCAUUGGACAUGGUCUUACAAUCCAUCUAAAUAAAAGUUUUUAUUUUUUUAUUUUUUUUUACAAAAACAAAACGAUAUUCAUUCAUUCAAAUCGAUAGAGUACAUCAGAUACAAACAUCACUAAAAACGUAAAGGGUGAAUUUGCGAACAAACUCACAACACCCAAUUUAACAGCAAUAUAAUAAAUUUUCUUUCUUUCAUCUCUAGUUUUCUCUCUUAAUUUCUAGAGUGUGAUCCCUACUCGAAUUGGACCAUAUCAUAAUGCUACUACAAUUAUGAUUUUUGGUACACUUUAAUUUAUGUUUAUGAAAGAUUUCCAUAUUGUAGACAAGCUCAUAAGAAUUUUAUAGACAAACCCUAUAUUAUAAUUGUCGUUUGACAACAUAAUAUUAUAAAAAUAUAGUUUUUGUGGGGAUUAUGAAAAUAUUCUUAUUACCAUUAUUCACUCAUAUAAAAAUAAGCUCAUAAGAAUUUUAUAGACAAACCCUAUAUUAUAAUUGUCUUUUGACAAAAUAAUAUUAUAAAAAUAUUGUUUUUGUGGGGAUUAUAAAAAUAUUCUUAUUACCAUUAUUCACUAAUAUAAAAAUAUUGAGAAAAACGUCAUUCCAUAAUUCCUCUAAAAAAGAAAACACAUUCCUUAGUUAUAGUGUAUGUUCGCUCAUGAAUUGAAUUAUAAAAUAAAUCACACUUAAUUUGAACUUAAUUUGAACAAGAUAAACGAAAUGAUAAACAUUAUAUCCUUUUUCAAUAAAACUAAUUAAUAUUAUUUAUUUGGAAAAUUAAAGGUUUUUUUUUUUUUUUUGUAACAAAGUUUGUUUUUGUUACGUGCAAAUUUAAAUUUCCAUGAAAGACAGGAUAUGAAAGUUUUUGUUACCUAUAAGGUGUGUUUGAUAUGCUAAAAAAUGAAGGAUAAAACAUAACAACUUCAGUUGUAUAAUGUUUGAUUUGUAAAACUCUUUAGGGAUAGAACAAAUUGAAGGCAAAGAACAUAACAAAAAGCGUAUAAGGCUAGAUAUUAUUCAAUACUAUAAAAUUUUGUUACGUGUUGUUCUGUCUUAUUUUGUGCUAUAUAUUUUGUUUUGAGGAGUUCUGUCCAGUUGUUACUGUUUAACAUAUCAAACACACCCAUAAUAAUGGUUUCUUGUGUAGUUAAAAUUCUAUUAUUAAGAUCAAUAACAUUGUUAAAAAUCUCAAGUGCAAAAUAUAAUAACAAUUCUAAUGGAAAAAACAAAAGACUUCGUUAAUGUUACUUCAAAAAAAAAAAAAGACUUCAUUAAUGUUAAAAAAGGAAGAAAGAGCGAGUGAUAGAGAGAGGAUCCAUCAAUUUAUUUAUUUUUUGUUUUUGGUGAAAUGACCCAUCAAUUUUACCAGUGAGAUGAGUGUAUGUAAAAAAAUAAUGAAUUUAUUGGAGAGAGGGGGUAAUGUAUCACAAUUAUUUAUUAUUGAAGAAAAGAUUAGACAUCAAAGUUAUUUGAAAGAAAGAGUGAAUGCGAGAAAAAAAAAAAUUUAUUGCUGGAUUAGAAUGAGGGUAUAAUAAAAAAAACAAAAAAGUACACUUCAUUAAUUUGAGGGUGUUAUUCUAAAAUGACACGUAAAAAGAAAUAGAUGAAAUAUAAUUAUCCUAGUAAAUAGAUUUUCAAUGAGAAGCUCGUUUUAUUCAUUUUGAGAUGGAAAAGAUAACAAAAUAUUAAAAUAAAAAAUUGAGGUUGUACCAUGUUAAACUUGUAAAUAGAACUGAGAAAUAGUUAACUUGUGCAACAAGUUAACUUGAUAUGCAAGCUUCUGCAUAAGUUAGACAUUAGAAUAAUGACAGCUAUGAGUUAGUUAGGAUUAUACACAUAACACACAUUCUCUUUUCUUCCUAGCUUCUGCAAUUUCUAUGGUUUUCAUUAUGUUGAUGAUGAACUUCAUGACAGUAUCAGAGCUAAUGCCGCUGCGAACGGUGAUGGAAAUUUGAUUCCUCUAAUUCUUGAUCAUUAUGAACAACCUAGUACUGUUUAUCAUGUUCAUCUUUUUGAUAGUCCCUCUUAUGUUGCAGUCACUCCAAUUUUAACACAUCCGAAUUGUCAUGCUAGGGCUCGAUCCAUGAGACGAGCUUUUGGAGCAAAGAACAAAUUUGAUUUUGUUGAUGGUUCUAUACAUGUUUCUACGGGGUUUGAUCCAAGUUUCAAGUCUUGGAAUCGCUGCAAUAUGCUUGUUCAUUUGUGGAAAAUGAACUAUCUUGAUGAAUCAAUUGCGCACCACAUAGUUUUUCUGGAAAAUGCAAUUGACGUUUGGAAUGAGCUAAAGCAAAGAUUUUCGUAAGGUGAUUAUAUGAAACACGGCUGAAGUUUGCUAUAAGAAACAUGAUUUUCCUCCUCAUGCUAUCUACAUUAGGACUUGUUUGGGACUUUUGAAACUUAAAAGACCACUUUGGGAAAAACGAAAAACUUAAAAGGACCUUUAGAUGCAUUUGACCUUAAUAUUUCAAUAAGUUGAAUACAGAAUUUCCAAGAUAAAGUUUAUACUUCCAGUUUCUUUUUUUAUAUAUAUAGUUUAUUUUUUAAAAUCUAUAAGGAGAAUCCAUGCUGAUAGAACGCAUAUCUGUAUGAGACAUAAAUUCUGCAGUUUCACUUAUUAAGAUGCUCUCUUCUUGAGUCUCUGGUGUAUAAACUUUUUCACUUUGUUCACAAUACUGUUGAAUAAUUUCCAACUGUUGAUGAUACUGUUGAAUAAUUUCCAACUUAUUGCCUUCAAAAACUUGGCUUGUGUCUUGUUUAACUUCUUCAACAUCAGAUUGUCCUUCAAGCAUGCUUACAACUGAUGACAUGGUUGGUCUAUGCAUCGGAGAAACACGAGUGCAUAAAAGAGCUACAUUGAUCAUGAUCAUUGCUUCCUCUUUGUUGAAAUCUUCACCUAAUCUCUCAUCAAUUAGGUCCAUUAUGUUACCUUCUUCCUUUAAGAGAUGCACCUGAUAAAGAUGAAAUACAAACUUCAAGAUAUUGUGAUGAAGACUCAAAUUGGAUAGAAGGUAUGAAGUUAUGGAUGUGUUAGUUACCCGAUCAACAAGAGAGAAGCAUUCAUCCCUUGGCCUAUUCAUGGUGUUGUGCUUCCCACUAACAAUUUCCAAGGCAACUACUCCAAAACUAUAAACAUCCACUUUCUCCGUCAAAUAUCCGUGCAUUGCAUAUUCUGGAGCCAUAUAUCCACUGCAACAUAAAAAAUUAGGUUGGAAAAUGAUAAAUACCCUUAAAAAAUUCCAUAAAAAAAAGAACAAAUUAUAUAUAGAACUCACUAAGUGCCGGCUACUCUAGUAGUUAUAUGUGUGUGUCCGUCAUCUUUAAGCUUGGCCAAACCAAAAUCCGAUAUCUUUGGAUUGAGAUCUUUAUCGAGCAACACAUUAGUUGCUUUGAUGUCCCUGUGAACUAUCUUAAGCCUCGACUCUUCAUGUAGGUAAGCCAAACCUCUAGCAAUACCGACGCAAAUUUUCUUCCUUGUCGACCAAGUCAAUUUCAAUGGACAGUUUUCUUUGGCUUCAUUUUCAAAUGUCAUAGAAAAUUAGACGACAAAAUCAUAUGGUGUGUGUACACAGAGAGACACACACAACAUUGUAGAUUAUAUUAAUGAAAGAGCUACAAAACUUGACUACAUGGAUAAAAGGUUUACCAAACAAAGCACAAUCAAGGCUAUUAUUUUCCAUGUAUUCAUAUAUUAGCAAUAACUGAUCUCCCUCCAUACAGCAACCAU